rnacentral:lncRNA from 1 species
GCCGUCAUUGCUCAAUAUUAUCUGUCCGCACAUACACAGUACAUAAUUAUUGUACUGUAAAAUCAUUAUAACAAUAAUAUAAUAUUAUUAUUCUCAUCUCUUGAUCACAAUCCCAAUUCAGGGUUUGGAUCUCAUAUCUGACUUCUCUUUCGCAUAUCAAGUUAAAAUACUUGAUUUAAAUAUUCUGAACAAUUCAUAUAAUAAAAUAUAUAUUAUAUAAAUUCUAAUUAUCACUUCAUAUAUUAUUUCCAAUCAUGUUUUCAUGGAAAAUAAUUAAUAAAAACAUUUCUGCUUACAGAAAUUAAUUACCAUAAAAAUAUAAUUUGUAGUAAUUAAUAAUUCCAAAAUUAUUUCUAAUUUUUCAAGUAAU